rnacentral:rRNA from 1 species
CGUGGGGAAUCUGCCCCAUAGUCUGGGAUACCACUUGGAAACAGGUGCUAAUACCGGAUAAGAAAGCAGAUCGCAUGAUCAGCUUUUAAAAGGCGGCGUAAGCUGUCGCUAUGGGAUGGCCCCGCGGUGCAUUAGCUAGUUGGUAAGGUAAAGGCUUACCAAGGCGAUGAUGCGUAGCCGAGUUGAGAGACUGAUCGGCCACAUUGGGACUGAGACACGGCCCAA